rnacentral:rRNA from 1 species
GGAGAAAGCAGGGGAUCGCAAGACCUUGCGCUUUUGGAGCGGCCGAUGCCUGAUUAGCUUGUUGGUGAGGUAAAAGCUCACCAAGGCUUCGAUCAGUAGCUGGUCUGAGAGGACGACCAGCCACACUGGGACUGAGACACGGCCCAGACUCCUACGGGAGGCAGCAGUGGGGAAUUUUGGACAAUGGGGGCAACCCUGAUCCAGCCAUGCCGCGUGAGUGAAGAAGGCCUUCGGGUUGUAAAGCUCUUUCAGCCGGAACGAAACGGUUACGGUUAAUACCCGUGACUACUGACGGUACCGGAAGAAGAAGCACCGGCUAACUACGUGCCAGCAGCCGCGGUAAUACGUAGGGUGCGAGCGUUAAUCGGAAUUACUGGGCGUAAAGCGUGCGCAGGUGGUUUUGUAAGUCAGAUGUGAAAUCCCCGGGCUUAACCUGGGAACUGCGUUUGAAACUACAAAGCUAG